GAACUGUUUUAAGUUGAAGAACUCCACCAGCACUUGCUAAUAUUGUACCGAUGAGAUGCCAAAAACAAUGUCCGGGCUAUCGUAUUGGAACAGGUGUUUAGUGACUACCUGAUUGGAUCUGGAGAAUAAAUCUUUCGUUAUUGACAUCUACAUAGAUUAUAAUACUAAUAUUGUAACCCAGUCUAAAUCUGUAAUCAUAAAAGAUCGCUGUGGGUACAUUUUAGAAUAAUAAAACUGACAUGGUCAUUAGGCAUUA